rnacentral:rRNA from 1 species
GACGAAGGUGGCAAGCGUUGUUCGGAAUCACUGGGCUUAAAGAGCGCGUAGGCGGAAAGGAAAGCGUCGUGUGAAAUCCCCCGGCUUAACCGAGGAAUUGUUCGGCGAACUGCCUUUCUUGAGGCAAGUAGAGGUGCAUAGAACUCUUGGUGGAGCGGUGGAAUGCGUAGAUAUCAAGAGGAAUGCCAGCGGAGAAAUCGGUGCACUGGGCUUGUCCUGACGCUGAGGCGCGAAAGCGUGGGGAGCGAACGGGAUUAGAUACCCCCGUA